GGGAAAUGCCGGAUCCAGCCUGCCAGCUACCUUUAAGGUGAGUCACCCACAUGAUAAUAAGCCUUUGGUUGAGCAUCGGUGUGGUAUAUAGAAGCGUCCACAGAGAUGGUAAACAAGUGCUACACACAAAGCCAAAACAGCACUUCGUUGCUGGAAGUCCUGAGCCCUCUCUUGCUCUCCAGGGAGUGCAGAACUCCCGGGCACAGCACGGGCAGACCCGCGACCUUCGGGCGGGCGUGGGGAGUUUACACGCUCCCGCAGAGCGGAAGCUCCGAAACCAACAGGGAACCGCUGCUGACUCCCAACUUUCCCUAAGCGACCGGCCAGGUUCUCUCUGUUUUAUGGAAGGUGCCAGUCCUCGGGAUACCAGACCUGGCCGCCGCCGGCCACCCUCCCUGCUUGACAGCCGGGGUCCUAAGGAGGGGGCAGAGGGUGAAACCUUGCUCCUCGUCCCCCUCCUCCACCACCUCUUUUCCCCAAGGAAAAGCCCCACUUCGCUGGGGAUACCAGCGGGCUGUCCCCGCCUGGCCACUCACCCGGGUUGAAGAGCACCGUCCCCUUGAGAUUCCCAGACCUGGCUCCUGGGCUGUGACAGACCAUCAGUGACUCCCCAGAGCACACGUAGCAAGAGGCUGAUUAAUAUUGGCCGCAGGUAGAGCUCCCAUUGCUGCAGAGGCCUUGACAGCUCCAUGACCCUCGUCCCUCCCGCCGGCUCCCUCCAGUUCUGCUGCUUGAACAAAUCAUCACUUCAGCGCUGUUUACUGCAGGAACUCAGCCAGGGAAGUCACAACAAGACAAUAGACAUAUAAUCUGAUAACCUUGUUAACUUGGUUGAAUCAGAGCUCCUAACAAGUAGAAGAGUUUAAAAAUGGAAUAAAAAUAUUACAAUAUUUGUUGUCAA